rnacentral:rRNA from 1 species
GUCAUUGUCUUUCUGGAUCUUUAAAGCAAAAUCCUCGGAAGCUAAGCAGGGUCGGGCCUAGUUAGUACUUGGAUGGGAGACCACCUAGGAAGACCAGGUGCUGUAGGCA